GAAACUUAAAUGAAUUGACGGGGACCCGCACAGCAGCGGAGCGUGUGGUUUAAUUCGUUGCUACACGAAGAACCUUACCUGGGUUUGACAUAUAGGUUGUAGGGAACUGAAAGGGACCGACCCUUCGGGGAGCCUAUACAGGUGUUGCAUGGCUGUCGUCAGCUCGUGUCGUGAGAUGUUCGGUUAAGUCCGCUAACGAGCGCAACCCUCGUCGUAUGUUAUAUGUGUCAUACGAGACUGCCGGUAAAAAGCCGGAGGAAGGUGAGGAUGAUGUCAAGUCAGCAUGACCUUUAUAUCCAGGGCUACACACACGCUACAAUGGUCUGUACAAUGGGUAGCCAAGCCGCGAGGCGGAGCCAAUCCUGAAAGCAGGCCUCAGUUCAGAUUGCAGUCUGCAACUCGACUGCAUGAAGCCGGAGUUGCUAGUAACCGCAGGUCAGCAAUACUGCGGUGAAUACGUUCCCGGGUCUU
rnacentral:rRNA from 1 species